rnacentral:lncRNA from 10 species
UCAGUGGUGGAUUGUAUUUCUUCAUCUCUAAAAUCAUGGGUUUGAGUAAAUAAACUCUGAAUUCUGUAUCAGGAUGAACAUCCUACAACUCUAACUGUGGAGGUUAUGGGAAGGAAGAGAACGAUGGAUACAGUGAAGACAAAGAAUCUGGCCUGAUUGGUUCGGGGUUGGACAGAGUAAGUCAGAUGCUGGCCUGAUGUUUCUGUUACCUAUUUUUGAGUAUCACACUGCUCUAAAACCUAAUGACUUUAAAUGACAAUCAUUGUAUUCCCUCUC